rnacentral:rRNA from 1 species
AUGAGCUCCUAUGGUGAGGAUUCUGAUGGAGAGCCAGAGAGGAUGAAGAGCCAGUUUCUUAGAUUCAACAAUGACAGUGAAAUUCCAAACUUCCAGUUGUCAAUGGUCUUCAGAAGCAAGAACCAGCUAGUCAAAGCUUUGAAGAGAUAUGGGCUAGUGACAAAAAGAAGCAUUGUGUUCUAAAAGUCAGAGAUAAAUAGAGUUAGAGCCAAGUGUGGAUGGCCUGGAUGCCCUUGGAUGAUAUAUGCAGCAAAAACCAGUAGGACAAGCAGAUUCCAAGUGAUCACAUAUAAUGAUGAACAUCACUGUGCCCAAAACAGAGAGAAUAGGCUAGUGACUGCAAAGGUUAUUGCACAGAGGUAUGAGCACUUCAUUCUUGCAAAUCCAAUGUGA